rnacentral:misc_RNA from 1 species
AACGCAAGUGGCGCUCUUAUGCUUGCAUGGGAGCAUGCCUCUUUCAGCAUCGGUUAUUCUUUACUCGCCUGGCUGCUUAACUGCUAGCUUUAUGGCGGAGAAUGAGCUGUCGCUUUUUUUUUGUUUUUCUUAGCGUAUAGUAGAGUACGCAUCUCUGGCUCGAUCUAUAAGGGUGAGUCCCUGUAGUGAAAGUGAGUGUGUGCGGACUUUUGCUGUGGCUGAACCCAAAAACAAAAAGCUAAUAAAAGCGUCGCUUGAAGUUGGGCGAGCUCAGUCGCAUAGUUUCACUGAGAAAGUGACGUUGGUAAGAGUAAAGAAACCUUUUUUUUAAUAAAAAAAGGGUUUUCUUUUACUUCAACCGCCGCGUCCGCUUUCGUUUGCAGGUGUUAAACUAUAGAGCUUCGAACGAGUAGGUAUGCGCUUCUGAAAAGAAAACGUAGACUGUACGAGUUCAAACUUUUAACGACUUGAUCUGAAAUGAGGUAAGAGGACCCGCCGAAUUUAA